CAGGAAGCAACAGGAGCAGGAUGCGUCCUCCCACCCGGCUGCCCUCCCUGCGUCCUGCGCCGGGCGAGCAAGCAGCGCCUCUCCCUCGCGCGCGGGUGGCUUUUGAGCAUGCUGCCCGUGUUCAGCAGUGUGCACACAUGCACCCCCUUGUUCACAUUUUGUCUUCUAGGGCUGUGGAAGAGCUCCACAACCUUCAGCGAGCCUCUGGCCGUGCCUCGGCCGGACCCCCCCGAAGCCGCUCUGGCACGCGUGGCCUGCAGUGGCGCAGCUGAGGCUGCAGGGAGAUGCUGUUGCACCAAACACUCGCUUCACAUUCCCAGGAGGUGAGGAAGAUGUCAUGGGAGAUACAUUUACAUUUGUAAACUGCAAUCAAAACUAAUUAAAACCAACACAAAUACUGAUUAAUAGAGGAGGAAACCUGAUUCCGAGUCCCAUGAUCCCACCCUAAAUAACAGUGACUUGGUUUUAUAAGAGGAAGAUUUUCUUGUUCCUCUUUCAUUCUUAACAUCUGGUGACACAUUUCCAGCUCCCAGGCACCAACGAGGCAGCAGCGCCGCGCUCGGGAAGCGGCACAGGGAAGCAAUCCCAUGGCCUUUACUUGUUCUGCCUGAAACACAGCUUAUCUUUUAAGAGAAGUCCACUGCUGUGAUGUUAUGGUCCAGGCAAGCGCCAUGCCUGUUCUCAUUUGGUCAUAGGCCACUGUUUUCAGUUUGUUUCAUUAAAAUUGAAUUUAUUCCAGCCAAGCAGUUAAAAUAUUCAUUACUAGUCUCGUCACCUUUAAAAUUCUCCUUUCC
rnacentral:lncRNA from 1 species